UUCAGUGCUGUCACUCGAGAUUCUGCAGAUUGCUUAGUUAUAUUUGAAAUUGACGUCGUGUUCUGCAUCUCAAUUCAUCCCUAUGGUAUCAUGGUAGCAGCAUCGUGUGAUACCAAAUUGCGCUCUUGCACUGGAAGUGCAACACAAAUUGAUUAGAAAUCAUAAGAAAAAUGAGCAGUCCCUUUUCUGUCUUAGAAGAUGUGCCAUUAACCGAUUAAUGCUUGUAACACUCAAGAAUAUGAUUCUUCUAAACUACUGUUGUAGUGAAAAGAUUUUUUUCCUUAAAAAGAACAAUCUUGGAAAUUUAAAAGUUUCUUUAGCUUUUAAACAAGAAAUUAGGAACAUAGGAUAACUUUGAUUUCCACGAGUAGCUAUGUAUUUAUACAUUUCGAUUACCUCCAUCUCUCUUUAUAUGAUUUCUGUCCUUGUUUUCUGACUCCAGUUUUGUGUCAACUAGAUAUUCUGGUGGCCAUGCCUCCUCGAUGCUAGCACUAUUGAACAAACACAUCAUGUAUAGUACAAUGUCGGAGUUUACUAGAAACAACCGAAAUGGAAUAACUUUUUUUUUUUUACUUUUUUCGAAGGAUAUCUCUCUUUACUCUUGAUUGCAUAUGCCAGAUGCUAGGCUGCUACACUAGUUUUCGGUGCCUGGGGGCCGGGGGUGGUAAGGUGGUGGGAACGAACAUACACUGCCUUUCGGUUUGUGGCACAUGUCCAGCAACUGCAAUUCUGUUUCAGAAGCCUCGAAUAAAGCUUGCACAAAGGCAUCAACAUGCCAUCUUAAGCAGACCAAGCUGAGAAUCUCCUGAAUGUGCUUCUCUCAAGCUUAUUCAGGAAAACGCCAGAGGUGUGAAGCCGCUCGUGGACCAUCCAGAUGUUUUAUCGUGGCUAGUUGUUACUGAAAAGAUGUCAGAAAGCGCUGAUGGAUUGCACGAAUCAGGUCUCUUCGGCCCAGAGCAAAGAUUCUCAAAUCCAUUUGGUGUACUAUUAGAUCGCAUCUAUGUUUGCAAAAUAUAUAAGCCAGCAUUCAUCGUCUCAA